GCCAGUGUGGCGCAUUGGUCUGAGUGCUAUAUUAUGACUGUGGAGACCAGGGUUUGAUUCCCCGCUCGGCCA